UCCAGAGUGCAGACAGGACAUAGCCGUACUGCAAUAGAGCUGGUCGGUCAGUUAGCCACCAUGGCUCGUCGAUCAAACCCAGCACUGAUCAGUACCCUUUGCUGCUUCACUGCACUACUGUCUCUCGCCUUUGUGUGCUUCUUAUUACCGUAUGUGUGCCCGUUGGAUGGCGACGACGACGACGCCGGCUUGACUAGUGUGUGGCCGGUGCUUGUGCGUACCGAUGCUGCUACUCUCAUGCACAACGACUGUCGCCGCGUGCACCCGUCGACGGCCGGCGUCGUUCCGACCUUUGUCUCAGCUGGCUCGGAGUCACAGCACCAUCAGCCUGUUAAUUUCAACUGUUCCAUGCCGUCCGCAUCCUCCACAAGAAUCCUUCAUGGGACACGUUCUGAUGACUCCUCGCCGCCGCCGCCGGCGUCACCGCCCAGCUGGUGACCAUGAUCAUCAUCGUGUUAGCUGAUCUUGCGGCGGACCAGAGGAAGAAGAAGAAGAGCGGAAGCAUGGCGCCCCUUCUGAUCGUGCUGCUGCUGAUUGCGGUUGCUGCUGCUACAGGAUGUGCAGCUGCAGAUGCGAGAGGCUCACGCUGCAGCAACGAUCCCAACUUACCCAGGAGGAUCCGUGCUUGCGGCCCCCCGUCAAUUAAGCCUCACAACUAGUAUACAUACGCUACUGUGAGCUCGAUGCAGCACAAUAUAUACUACUAAAAUAAAGCUUGUGCUGCUCAUAUAUACUAUAUAAGUACCAAUCUCGAUCGCGUCUAUCAUCUAAGGAUAUUAGUGGCCCACUGGCGCGCCUAAAACAAAUUAAUACUUUGUUAAUUAAUGCCUCAUACUACCUUGCAUCGAUAGAAGCUUAAUUUCUCACAUUUAAAUAAGGUAUGGCACUUGGAUGAUAUGUAAUUCCUGCAUUAUUUCAGUCCUCUUAGUUUUCUCCAUUCUCAA